UGGGGAAUAUUGCACAAUGGGCGCAAGCCUGAUGCAGCCAUGCCGCGUGUUGUGAAGAAGGCCUUCGGGUUGUAAAGCACUUUCAGCGAGGAGGAAGGUGGUGAACUUAAUACGUUCAUCAAUUGACGUUACUCGCAGAAGAAGCACCGGCUAACUCCGUGCCAGCAGCCGCGGUAAUACGGAGGGUGCAAGCGUUAAUCGGAAUUACUGGGCGUAAAGCGCACGCAGGCGGUUUGUUAAGUCAGAUGUGAAAUCCCCGGGCUCAACCUGGGAACUGCAUUUGAAACUGGCAGCUAGAGUCUCGUAGAGGGGGGUAGAAUUCCAGGUGUAGCGGUGAAAUGCGUAGAGAUCUGGAGGAAUACCGGUGGCGAAGGCGGCCCCCUGGACGAAGACUGACGCUCAGGUGCGAAAAGCGUGGGGAGCAAACAGGAUUAGAUACCCCUGGUAGUCCACGCUGUAAAACGAUGUCGAUUUUGGAGGUUGUGCCCCUUGAGGCGU
rnacentral:rRNA from 1 species